rnacentral:siRNA from 1 species
AAGAGGUGUUUCUCUUGCUUUAAC